AUGAACGCUGGCGGCGUGCUUAACACAUGCAAGUCGAACGGAAAGGCCCAAGCUUGCUUGGGUACUCGAGUGGCGAACGGGUGAGUAACACGUGGGUGAUCUGCCCUGCACUUCGGGAUAAGCCUGGGAAACUGGGUCUAAUACCGGAUAGGACGAUGGUUUGGAUGCCAUUGUGGAAAGUUUUUUCGGUGUGGGAUGAGCUCGCGGCCUAUCAGCUUGUUGGUGGGGUAAUGGCCUACCAAGGCGUCGACGGGUAGCCGGCCUGAGAGGGUGUACGGCCACAUUGGGACUGAGAUACGGCCCAGACUCCUACGGGAGGCAGCAGUGGGGAAUAUUGCACAAUGGGCGCAAGCCUGAGGCAGCGACGCCGCGUGGGGGAUGACGGCCUUCGGGUUGUAAACUCCUUUCGCUAGGGACGAAGCGUUUUUGUGACGGUACCUGGAGAAGAAGCACCGGCUAACUACGUG
rnacentral:rRNA from 1 species